AGUGAACGCUGGCGGUAGGCCUAACACAUGCAAGUCGAACGGCAGCACCGUAAGAGCUUGCUCUUACGGGUGGCGAGUGGCGGACGGGUGAGGAAUACAUCGGACUCUACUUUUUCGUGGGGGAUAACGUAGGGAAACUUACGCUAAUACCGCAUACGACCUACGGGUGAAAGCAGGCGGCCUUCGAACCUUGCGCGAUUGUAUGAGCCGAGGUCGGAGGAGAUAGUUGGCGGGGUAGAGGCAAUCCAAGGCGACGAUCCGUAGCUGGUCUGAGAGGAUGAUCAGGCACACGGGAUGAGAGACAGAGUCCAGACACCUACGGGAGGAAGCAGUGGAGAAUAUUGGAGGAGGGGGGAGAGCCGGAUCCAGCCAUACCGCGGGAGGGAAGAAGGCCCUCGGGUGGGAAAACCCUGUUGUUGGGAAAGAAAAGCAGCAGGUUAAUACCCCGCUGUACUGACGGUACCCAAAGAAUAAGCACCGGCUAACUUCGUG
rnacentral:rRNA from 1 species